GUGUCGGUAGUGGACCGGUUGAGCACGCGCUCCCGUGUAGGGUGAGAUAUGGGUUCAAAUCCCAGUUGACGCA